GGCGCGCGGCCGGGAGCGUUUCCGGGCGGCGCCAGCAGGGGAGCGGCUGAGGGCGGCGCUCGAGGCCCGAGUGGCCGCAGGUGUGCGCGGCGCCCCGCGAAGGCUGUGAGGUGCUGAGGAAGAGGCAGCGUGAGCGCAGGGCGCCGCCUCGGUCCGCCGCGGUUCCUACGGGAAAUGUUUGCGGAGGCCGGGGCGGCCCCUCGGAGCGCACCUGCCGGAGGGGUGGUGUGGAGACGCACCGAGCGUGGCCUACCGGGCGGAAGAGCCUCCCGGCCCAGGUGGUAGCGAGCGGGCGGAGGCCCGGGGGGGGGGGGGGGGGCUCACGUGCCGCCCGAGGGUGCGCGGCGGGCUCGCGUGUGAGGACCUGCCUUCCACCUGCCGGUAGCGUUCGGAGCCCCAGCCCGGAGGUCCGCGGGAGACCCUGUCGGCGCACGAGGAAGGAUCCGGAAAGGCCAGGCCGGAGGCCGGGAGAGGCCCUGGGAGAUGCUGGAGUCGCGGACGUGAGAUUGGCCCCGAGUGGAAGUCGGUGCGGAAAGUGAGAAAGGACCUGGGCGAUCCGGUUAACAUUUCUAGCUUUCUGGCCUGAGCCUCUGGAGUGGAGUGUGGUUCCGUUUACCGAACUAAUGAACACAGGAGGAGGAGCUUUGGACCGACGAUAAUACGUUUAGCUGGGUUUGCUUUUAAGAUGUAACUUACCGUAAAAUUUAAAGCGUAUAAUGAAUUUUCACACAUUCCCAAGGUCGUGCAGUCAUCACCACGUCAUUCCCGAACAUCUUGUAACCCCAAAUAGAAAUCCCUCCCCACCCAGGAGCAGAGAGCAGAAACAGGGGAAGCAGCAGAGAGGGAGAAGCAGGCUCCCCACUGAGCAGGGAGCCAGAAGCCAGGCUGGAUCACAGCUGGAGCCAAAGGCAGGCACUUAACAGACUGAGCCACCCAGACACCCCUGGUUCUUCACUUAGUGGCCGAUGAAGCUUCCCUUGUAUGGAUGGAUAUUCCACAUUCUCCACAUCAGUUGGUGGAGUUUUGGCUGUUUUGAAUAAUGCUGCUGUGAACAUUGUGGUAGGAGUUGUAUGUUUUUAGUUCUCUUGAGUAUAUACCUAAGUCUACAAUUGCUGGGUCACAUUACGUUUACAUGCUGAGUGUUGAGUUUCAAAUGUGAAUAGAACUACCAAGACCUUUUUCUGUAUGGUUUUGGAAACUGAAGUUACUUUGUAAUACGGUUUCCGAUUGGGUUCAAUAAAUAGCACAAGAAGAGUG